AGUCUCCGACAUUUCAUCAGUUUUAGUUUUCGAACAGAAGAAACUAUCUUCAAUUGCUGCAGUUCUUAAAUCCAUCAAGAAAUUUUCAGAAAAAGGCGGUGAUUUUUGGUGGAUUUCAAUCUCUCCCGCUGAAAUUUUCACCAAAAUUUUCAGUCUUUAUAUUAUUUAUUUCUCUCUCUCUUAUCUUCUUACAAAACUAAAACUUAGAUCUGGUUUUCUCCUCUUUCCUUUAGUUCUUCUCCACUGAAGAAGAUUGCUGAGGGUUUGUGUUGGAUUUAAUUUGUUUAAUUUCUUAAGGUUUGUGUUAUGGAUUUGUGGUCUAGAAACGAAAUCUAGAUAUGGGUUUCUGUUGAUGAAACUUGAUAUUGUGCUUUGAGCUUUGAUUUUCUUAGAUUUGAGCUUAGAAUUUAUGAUUGGGGUCUGAGUUUUAUCUGUUUUGUACAAAUGUUGGGGUUUUGUGACAUUUCUUUGUUUCUCAUUGUGCUUGUGUUGUUUUCUCUAAUUUCUGUUGAAUGGGAAAGCUUGAGAAAAGGCUGAGCCUUGAAAUAAAGAACCCCUUACCCCUUAUAUCAACUUAUUGGAUUAUAAAGAUAUUAUGAUGUUGGAAAUGAAAUUUCAGUUCUUAGAGAGGUAGGAUAUGAAACUAUAAAAUGUUCUGCUGUUUUUGUUGUGUGUUUGGUGCUUCUCGGCACUGUUUUAUCUACACUGUCCAACUGCCUGUAGAGACUAUGAACUUUGUUAGCCAAAGCAUUUGAUGAUUAUAUGUUGUAAGAAGAUCGAUAAGGUGAUGCAGUAAGAUUAUAUGUACAGAAUGUGAACUAUGUCUGUAGGAGAGGUUGCUAUCAAUAGGGGAGAUGGUUUACUGUGUCUGGACAUGCAAUAUCCCGUACUUAUGAGAUGCUCAGUUCACUACCAGGCUUACUUUGUUAACUUGCUGUGUGAAGAAACAAUGACGUCUGAAUCUCCUUCUGAAAUUUAUGUUUUUACCCCAAAAUUUUGUUUUGAAUUUGGUCUUAUUGGUUUACGGAUUUAACAGCAAGGGUUAUAUAUGGUUUUGGUCAUUUUCUGCUCAUCUCAAAAUUGGUGUCUUCUAGUUUGUGGGGGGCAUAAAAUUCAUACAUUGUCUGACCGCUAUUUGUUUCCAAGAAAAAUUAAUGUACUGGGCCAUUUUCUUUGGUGCUCAAAUAAAGUGUUGAUUAAUCAAUUUCACUUUAUUAAAUUGCAUUAUGAGGUCUUGGUUUCAGUCAGUUCCAUGCUAGUGACAAGAUUGAUGAACCUUCCUUUUCAUGAAGUUUGUAGAAUCAGUUGUUUUUUAUAGCACUGGUCAUGUGAACUUUGUAUGCAAUUCUUGGACCAAAUUCUAUGGAAUACACAAGAGAUCAGUUAAAGCCUCAAAUGCUUUGUUUGCAAAUUUUUUGUGUUAAUAAGGAAUGGUAAGAGGGGCUUCCGUUGUUCUAUCUGUAUCAAUUGAUUAAGUUUGAUGUUAUUGGGUGCAAAUAAUGUGUUUGUCGAAUGUUUCCUACUGUUCUUUUCUGUUAAAAUUAUUGAAAUCAUUGUGUUUGUUGAAUUCCAUUAGGUUUUGGCCAUUUAUGACGGUGUAUGUUGUGUUCGAAUACUAGCUUUGAAAUCCAUCGUAAUGUUCUGGCCAUUUAUGACGGUCUAUGUUGUGGAUAAGUAUAUUUGAUGUCAGCAAAUAUUUGAGUACCCAGAAGUGUUGGAUGGCUGGAUCUACACCAAGAUAAAUAAUAGGUGGAAGGAUCACAAAAUUUCAUGUUAAAAAGGCUGCUUAUACAAAAUGGAAUACGGUGGAAGAACGUCUUGCUAAUCCACCACACGAUGUUGUUGAGAGCCAGUGGAGGGUACUCGUUGAGGUUUGGAAUACUGAUUUGAAGAAACAAGCAAUAUGCCAAAUAAACAAAGAAAACUGGGAGAAACAAACAUUUUACCAUACUACUGGCUCUAAACCACAUGCUAAGUGUGUAGCAGAGCUAGGGAAGAAACUAGGACGGCGUCCUAAACGUCAUGAGAUCUUUGGUGUUACCCAUACCAAAAAGAAGAAAACUGAAGACCCAGAUGAAGUCUUGAUGGAUCCAGAAGUGGCUGCAGAGCUUAAGGAAAUGGAGGAAGUAGAGAUCCAAGCUAGCUUACCAGGUUCUGAUAUUGUGCUGCAAGGACGACAUGAUGCUUUUGCCCAAGUGCGAGGACGAGAUAAAGGGGGUCGUGUUCGCUAUCUAGGCAAUGGUAUAAAGCCAAAGAACUAUUGGGUGAAGAAUCAUCCACCAAACACACCACUGACCCAAAUGCUAAAAUUGUGAACCUUACACAACUGGAGAAUACUGUUGCACAACUUCAAGUAGCAAUGCAACGAAUAGCUGAUUUGGAGGCACUACUUGUUGCGCUUGAUGAACUGGGAACUGCUAACACUGUUACGCCAUCGAAUGACGCAGAGAUCAGGAACAGUCCAUGAAUGGAAGAUCUUAGUGCACAAAUGCUCGACUGAUAUACUACUUAUAUAACUCUGGUGACUCAGGUGCUUGUUUUUUUGAGUAAAGGGAAUGGGAUCUCUUUUUUGUUUUUUUUGUUUUCAUGCCAUUAGGUGUGUUCUUAUCAUGUCCCAAAAUUUCCACAGGUAUUUGGAUGUUGAUAGUCUUAGUUACCAGCUUUUUAACUCUCUGGGUGUUGUUAUGUUGUCCAGAUUUAUGUUUUUUGUUAUGUUGUCCCAAAAUUUCCACAGGUAUUUGGAUGUUGAUAGUCUUAACUAACUGUCAGAUAUGUAGGUUUCUAUAUAUAUGGUGCAUCAAUGUAAAACUUUGUUAUGAAUGGUAUAAAUUUCGAUUUUUGAAAAGCUUUUUAA